CAAGAACCCAAAAUGCAAAGCCUAGUUCUGAACUUUUUAUUUUCCUUCGUUUCUUUCUCCUGCUUGUUUGGCUUUUCUUACUAAGGGUACAACCCUCAAUUUCUAUUGCUAUUAGGUGGCCUUCCUCUGCCUCUCUGGGUAAGGGAAGUUAGCCUUGCCUUUUCCUACCCAGCUAGUGGGUUCCCUUUCCACCAUUGGGUUUGUUGGAAGGCUAACAGAGCAUCUAUUUUGUUCUUGCUAUAAAUGGCGUGAGGGUGCAAAUCUAGUGGUGAUUUCUCACUGGGUCAAAGUGUUGAUAGUUAAUGGCUGACUCGGAAGGCGCCAUUGGGACGCCAAAAAGGUCCUCCACCUCUUCCCUUCGUCGAUUUUAGUGAUGUUUUGCUGCCUAUAUCUAGUUUGCACAGGUUCUUGGCCUUGGGUUUCAAUGUUUUAUCCUAGCUUUUGGCCUCUACUCUUGUCAGAAGGCUGUUGCUUGUUGCCUUUGUUUGGAUUUGGUUUUACUCCUUCCAUGCAUGCAAGUUUCCAGCCGGCAAAGACCCGGCUUUGCUCAUUCCAGUUGGUUAUAGUGUCACGAGAUUUCCAGUGUUCUCUCAUGGCAAAGCGGUGCUGCAUACUUUGGGUAGGGUUAUCCUCAUUCGGGUCUAUAACCCUAUUUUUUAGGGUUUUGAUGUUUAUGCUCUAGGCCUUUAGUUUUUGGGCUUGGUUAUGGGUCUACAAGCUAGGGUUUUCUUCAUAUUUAUUAAGCUUAGAACCUUGAUAUACUCAGCUCAGCCUUAUUUUAAAGGCUUUUAAUGGAUUUAACUUAUCUUUGAC
rnacentral:misc_RNA from 1 species